AACGCGAAGAACCUUACCAAGGUUUGACAUCACCGGAAAACUCGCGGAGACGCGGGGUCCUUUUGGGCCGGUGACAGGUGGUGCAUGGCUGUCGUCAGCUCGUGUCGUGAGAUGUUGGGUUAAGUCCCGCAACGAGCGCAACCCUCGUUCCAUGUUGCCAGCGGGUAAUGCCGGGGACUCAUGGGAGACUGCCGGGGUCAACUCGGAGGAAGGUGGGGAUGACGUCAAGUCAUCAUGCCCCUUAUGUCUUGGGCUGCAAACAUGCUACAAUGGCCGGUACAAAGGGCUGCGAAACCGCGAGGUGGAGCGAAUCCCAUAAAGCCGGUCUCAGUUCGGAUUGGGGUCUGCAACUCGACCCCAUGAAGUCGGAGUCGCUAGUAAUCGCAGAUCAGCAACGCUGCGGUGAAUACGUUCCCGGGCCUUGUACACACCGCUCGCGA
rnacentral:rRNA from 1 species